UGCAAGUCGAACGAACUCUGGUAUUGAUUGGUGCUUGCAUCAUGAUUUACAUUUGAGUGAGUGGCGAACUGGUGAGUAACACGUGGGAAACCUGCCCAGAAGCGGGGGAUAACACCUGGAAACAGAUGCUAAUACCGCAUAACAACUUGGACCGCAUGGUCCGAGUUUGAAAGAUGGCUUCGGCUAUCACUUUUGGAUGGUCCCGCGGCGUAUUAGCUAGAUGGUGGGGUAACGGCUCACCAUGGCAAUGAUACGUAGCCGACCUGAGAGGGUAAUCGGCCACAUUGGGACUGAGACACGGCCCAAACUCCUACGGGAGGCAGCAGUAGGGAAUCUUCCACAAUGGACGAAAGUCUGAUGGAGCAACGCCGCGUGAGUGAAGAAGGGUUUCGGCUCGUAAAACUCUGUUGUUAAAGAAGAACAUAUCUGAGAGUAACUGUUCAGGUAUUGACGGUAUUUAACCAGAAAGCCACGGCUAACUACGUGCCAGCAGCCGCGGUAAUACGUAGGUGGCAAGCGUUGUCCGGAUUUAUUGGGCGUAAAGCGAGCGCAGGCGGUUUUUUAAGUCUGAUGUGAAAGCCUUCGGCUCAACCGAAGAAGUGCAUCGGAAACUGGGAAACUUGAGUGCAGAAGAGGACAGUGGAACUCCAUGUGUAGCGGUGAAAUGCGUAGAUAUAUGGAAGAACACCAGUGGCGAAGGCGGCUGUCUGGUCUGUAACUGACGCUGAGGCUCGAAAGUAUGGGUAGCAAACAGGAUUAGAUACCCUGGUAGUCCAUACCGUAAACGAUGAAUGCUAAGUGUUGGAGGGUUUCCGCCCUUCAGUGCUGCAGCUAACGCAUUAAGCAUUCCGCCUGGGGAGUACGGCCGCAAGGCUGAAACUCAAAGGAAUUGACGGGGGCCCGCACAAGCGGUGGAGCAUGUGGUUUAAUUCGAAGCUACGCGAAGAACCUUACCAGGUCUUGACAUACUAUGCAA
rnacentral:rRNA from 1 species